UGCAUCGCAAGCUGACAGUUAAUUAGUUUCGUUUAAAGACUGCCCCAGCUCACAACUCCAAAAUGAGAACUUUAAUCGUUCUUACAAUAAUUGUUUGUCUUUCGGUGACAUUAGCUUUGCCCGUAGUGGAACAUGAUCAGAACUAUAACAUAGUGCCACUUUCACGUUUAAGAAGGGAAAGGGAAACGAAGCCAGAAGUCGCACACACAGAUGAACCUAAAGUCAUUGGUUCUAGUACCCCUAAACCUAAAUUAACUGACGCUGAACUUCUUAAGCGUUAUCAAAAUGAUCCCUGGAAAAGAGUAUAUGUAGCCCAAAGUGGUCCUUUUCCAAACUACUCGAAUGUAAUUAGAUUUUAAUGAGUUUGCGAACUUGUUAUUUUCAAUAAAUCAUGCAUUUAU